UACGUAGGGUGCAAGCGUUAAUCGGAAUUACUGGGCGUAAAGCGUGCGCAGGCGGUUUUGUAAGUCUGUCGUGAAAGCCCCGGGCUCAACCUGGGAAUUGCGAUGGAGACUGCAAGGCUUGAAUCUGGCAGAGGGGGGUAGAAUUCCACGUGUAGCAGUGAAAUGCGUAGAGAUGUGGAGGAACACCGAUGGCGAAGGCAGCCCCCUGGGUCAAGAUUGACGCUCAUGCACGAAAGCGUGGGGAACAAACAGG
rnacentral:rRNA from 1 species